CCCCGAGGAGGGGUGCCGCCCGCACCCCCCGCGGGAUCGGAGCUCCCCCACUCGGGCACCCCGAGGCCCCCGCACCCGCUCCCGGGGAGAACAUCGCCCGCCUCCCCCUUCCCCGCGGCCCCAGGAGGUUCCCGCCCGCAGGGACCCCCGGAACGAGGGCUCUGGGGCCCGCCGGGGCUCCGGCCACGGGCCCGCUCCGGACGCGGGGAGCCGGGGCCCUGCCGGGGCAGGAAGAACGGGGGCAGCCGCUCCCUCGUUCCUCCCGUGCUCCGGGACCCCGAGCAGAGCUGCCCGUCUGUCCCCGUGUCCCUGUGUCUGUCCUCAGGCGGGCCCCAGGAGCUGGCACUGACCGUGCCGCGGCUCGGGCACAGGCUGCUCCCAGCUCUGCCUGCGGAACUUCGGCAAUUGCCGACAGCAGUUCUUUGCCCCGCCAUCCAGAAGGUGCAGCUCAACUGACAUCUGCCAGACGGGGAAGGUCCUGCCUGGGUGGGAAACGGCUACAGAAGAGGAAACCAAGAAACGCUCCAACCGGACGCUGCCGCGCGAGUCAAAGGAGGGAAGAACCGCAGGGAAAUACAGUCAGGAAAGCCGCUUUUAUUAAAUCUCUGCAGCAUUAAAUCCCCCCUUCUCAGCCACGGCCGGAGGGAGCGCGGCCGGCUGGGCUGUGCCCGGCUGGGGACGGGCACCAAUUCAUCACUGCCCUGCUCAGGGAGGUUUUCCGGCCCCCGUUCAGGAUUCAUCCAAUGGUUGCAAAGGUGCUCGUGCAACGUCUUUUUCCAGGGAUAAAUGAGCCCAAUAAGCCCAGAGAAAUCCUUCGCUCCGAGGCAAAGGCGUCGGUCGAGUGUCCCCGCCUGGUUCCGCCUGCGGGGGCCGUCUCCUCCAGUUUCCCAGGGAGAAGAACAGGAACUCAAGGCCACCAAGGCCUGACAGUCCCCUGCAGCCAGAGCUCAGCACACACCCAGAGAGCCAAUUCCAGCAUCUAAAAGAAAAAAAAAGAAGACAAAAGUGAUUUAUUUUGUUUUAAAAUUAUUUGAAGUUGUUCCAAGCAAAGCAAGCCUUGCUCUGGUUUCAGCUGGGUGAACAGUGAGCGCUGGGCACAGGGCACGUCAUUAAUGCCCAGGGGAUGGGGCUUUGUGGGGGAGGGAAGAGCAGCUGAUGGAGUUGCCCAGUCCAAUUCCUGCCCAAGGCCUGACUGGCCCAGGACAAACCCUCUGGCAGGCAGUGGUUUUGUUCCCUCUAAUGGUCAGUGCCCCGUGUGUCCCUGUGGGCAGUGCCAGGCUGGGGACAGGCACACGCAGCUGGCAGCACUCUCUGCCCCAAACAGCCUCGGGGGGCAGCGCAGCCCCGGGGAUCGAGGGGGGCUGGAGGCGGCCCAGGAAAGGCCCCCCCGCUCCCCCCGGGGCAGCUCCACAGCCCCCCUGCCCUCUCUGCCACGGGGGCCCCGCUGCUCCCCCGGCUGGCACAGAGCCCCCUGCCCAUGGCUGGCAAACCAGGGCCAGGGCUCGGCCUCGCUGCAGCCGCCCCACACAGGAGCAACUCAGGGCUCAGCCCAACAUUUCCCUGCUUGGCCACUGCAGAGACCCUCAGUUCACCUCAACAGGUUCCUUCUCUUCCCAGCACAUUCCCUGAACUUUAACACCCCCAGUUUUCUGGGUCUGUCCCCACUCAUCACCUCAGGUUACCUCAGUGUGUUCAUUCCCUGCCCUGGACAGAAUGAACCUCCUUUUCAACCCACAAACUUUCCCCUUCCAGCCCACUCCUGAUUACCUCUUCCUGAACACAAAAGAGUCAUUCUCUGCCCUAGAGAUUAUCUCCUUUUUAACCCUCAGAGUCUUCCCUAAUGCACACUCCUGCUUACCUCUUUUGGACCUCCAAAUAUUCAUCCUCUGCCCUGCACAUUUGCUCCAGUUUGACCCCCACAAUUUUCCCUACCUCUCCACAUCUGAUCCCCUCAUGUAUACCUAAAUAUGUUCCUGCUCUACCCUACAGACCACCUCAAGUUUACUCUCCAAACUUUCCCCACCUCCUCAACAAUGACUGCCUCCUUUUCAACUCCAAAUAUUCAUUCUCCACGCUGGAGAGUUUCUCAAGGUUUACCUGUCCACUGAUGACUGCCUUAGUUUGUCCCAAAAUGUUCAUGCUCUCUGCCAGACACUGCCACACAUUUUACCCCCAGAACCUUCCCUGGGCCCACUGUGGUGUCCACUCCUGAUUGCCUCCUCUGCACCUCUCAGGAUUCAUUCUGGACCCUGGAGAUUACCUCAGAGAUUUCUGCCCUAAAUGUCCCCACCUGGCCACCACUGAUUACCUCAGGUGACCUCAUGAUGUCCUUUCUCUCCCCUGGAGAUAACCUCGUUCAAAACCCCCAAAGUUUGAACUCAAAAUAUUCAUUCUCUGCCCUGGACGUUCCCUCAAGUUUUACCCCUGUAAUUUUCCCCAUAUCUCCACAACUGAUUACCCCAGUUUACCUCAGGAUGUACAUUCUCUCUGCUCCACGGGACCUCAAAGUUUACAAACACAAAUUUCCCCUCCCUGCCCACCCCUGACUGCCUCACUUCACCCCAAGGUAUUCAUUCUCUCUGCUACAGAUUUUACUCCCAAAAUUCUCCUUACCUACCCACAUGUAAUCAGCUCCUCUGUACAAAUACAUGUGCAUUCUC